rnacentral:lncRNA from 10 species
CCUGCAGUCUUCACCACCUCGCCGGCGGCCACGGGGGCUAAAAACGAUAAGAGAGACGGUGGGGGGUGCAUUUUGUGGGCAUCUGACUCUUCCAGGGCUGGGCGGAGCCAAGGACACUGGGCUUGGAGUCAUUCGGGCUGGAUGGGGCUGAACCCGCCCAUGUCUAUGGCCUGCUGAGUCCUGUCCUCUUGCAGAGCUCUUUUCGUCAUCUGCGCAAUGGCAGGAAUGAGACGGAAACCAGUGAAGCGUUCCUCGCAGGGCCUGGCACUGCCCUCCCAGAAGUGAAGGUACCAGGAGGCAGAGGAAACAGUAGCACCACGGUGCCAUCCUGGAUCCAACGGAGCAGCCACCUUUCCCCUGCUCCCCAAGGUGCGUCCAUUUCUGAGUUUCCCUCCUCUGGACCUGUGACCAUGCCAUCCCUCCUGCCUGGACUGCCUCCCAGUCUCUCAGUAGUACCACCUCCAGGUUCAGCUUGUGGUUCCGGCUGACAGCACGAAAAUCCAACACGCCCCUCACCGGAGGACUGGGAGGCUCCCGCGUUUUGGAUUCUGAAAAGCACUCCCUCGUUCACGUCUGCCUGGAUUCGCGCCCUCAAGCCCCCUGGCGCCCACUUUUCUUGCUCUCCAAACACUCGUUGAGGCCCGAGAGGGAGAUGCGAAGUUUGCCCACCACUGCGCGUCCCUCCUCCGCGAGGCGCCAAUGGGCCUGAGUCAGGGGCCUCCCCUUCAUCCGCUGGUCCCUCCCCUGUUCCCAGCUCCAGUUCCUCACCCGCUAUGGCUGGCCUGGCGCCUGUGGCCGUUCACCGUCUGCGAGGCAUCUGCGGGGACUGAAGUCGGGGAGGCAGCGGCGGGCUCUGGCAGAUACCAGGAGAUCCCGCCCCUCGGCCCGGGAGACCCCGCCCCUCGGCCACGCCCCUUUCCGCUCCCCACCCCGCCCUCUUGGGCCCCCCACCCGGCCCAGCCAGACAGAGACCUGCCUCCAGGUGGGUGGGAGGAGACCUUCAGUCCCUCGCCCCGGGCCUGUUGUCACUACCUCCCCCAAACACAUUGGUUAAAGUCACCCGAUUAGAAGGGGCCACCUGUGAGACUUGGAUCCAAAGCAAACUAGCGGAAGCUGAAGGGUCUUGGGGCUUCCCAGGCCUCUCGGAGGCCGGGAUGGUCGUGGAGGAGGGAGCGCUCAGUGCCUGGCCUACUGCCUGCCCUGAGCCGGCUCCCUACAGGACGCUUCUCCUGUACCUUCCACCUGCUGCGAGGAAGGGCUGGGGGCAGGCGUACCCAUUUUCCAGAGGAGAACUGAAGGCUCUCACCCCGGGUUAGGCCAGUGGCCGGAGGCAGAGCCGGGCCUUGAACCUGGCUUUCUGGAUCUUCAUCCAGGCCAUUCUAAAGGGGAUCACAGUUUCCAGGAGUCACUCCUGAAGAUGGUCAAGUACCAUGGAGGGGCAGGGCAUCCAUGGACCCUGAUUUGAGGCCCCGGAGCAGUUGGGACUGGUUUGGGCCACGGCUGGCCUAAUCUCCCCUCCACAGAGCCUGGGCAUUGUCCAGUUGGCAGCCAAGAGCCAUCUAUCCACUUUACAGCGGGCAGCUUUGACAGGCUGCUUGUUUCCAAGGACAAAGCCUGCAGGCUGUGGGUAGGCGAUAGCCACUGCGGACCUCGGGCUCAUUGCCUGGGUACAGGGGGUGGGGAGCCUGAGGUCUGCCAGGACCCAAGGGAGCCUCGAGGGUGGCCUGAGGACAUUGGGUCCUCACUCCUGGCCCCUCAGCCAACCCCCUCAUAGCCCAGGGCCAGGAAUUUUGGAAGGAAGAACCAGCCACUGGGAUGUUUUCACUUUUGGGUCACCCUGAUCCCCCCAGAAUCGAGGCUUGGCCAUCAGCCAGCUUUUAUGUGACCCAGGCAGCUCUCUCCACUCUGUUUCUUCUUCUACAGAAUGUUGAGAAUCACCUCUUUCUCUCAGGGACAUAAAGCAUGGCUGUGAGAGAGAUUUGUGAGUGUUGGGGUCACUGUAAUUACUCUCUGAGGGUGCCUGUCUUGAGCUCUGUAGACAAAGUGGGAUCCCUUCCCCUCUCUCAUACCCCUACAAACUUUGGGCCUCGAGUAUCCAGGAUGGGCCCAGAACCAGCACUGGCACAGCCUCCUCUCUGGCCUGAUCCAAGCCCUCUCCCACACAGCAGUCAGGCUGAUCUUCCUAAAAUUUCCGUCUAUUGAGCUUACAUUAAAAUAAUAAUAAUAAUAAUAAUAAUAAUAAUAAUAAUAAUAAUAACAACAUUUCUGUCUGAUUUUGUCUCUCCUCUGCUCAAAAUCCCUCUGUGGAUCCCUAGUGCCUCCAGGAGAAAGUCCACCCUUCCUCUCACGGCUCACCCAAUCUACCCCAGCCGUGGCUCCUCCCUCACUGUGCCUCUUCCCCUUACCUUCUAGCCAGAGUGAAAUCCCCAGGCCUCUGCGUGCACCAUUCCCUCUGCUUAGGAAUAGGCAGACCUGCCCCCAGGUCUUUUCUGGUUCAUUUCCACUUAUCCUUCAGGUUUCUAGGAUGCUUUCCCUGACCUCCACUUAAAUUGGCUCAGGAGUUCCCUGAUCUCCACAAAUGUCAGGAACUUGUCCACCCGCCUGCCCCCAGCACCCAGGUUACACCUGACAAAAUGAUCUGUGACAUGCCUGGCCUGGAGCCUGGCACACAGCAGGUGCUCAGUAAAUACAUAUUUGGCCGGGCGCGAUGACUCACGUCUGUAACCCCAUCACUUUGGGAGGCCGAGGUGGAUGGAUCACCUGAGGUCACGUGUUUGAGACCAUCCUGGCCAACAUGGCGGAACCCUGUCUCUACUAAAAAUACAAAAAUUAGCUGGUUGUGGUGGCGCGUGCCUGUAAUCCCAGCUGCUGGGGAGGCUGAGGCAGGAGAACCUGGGAGGCGGAGGUUGCAGUGAGCCAAGAUCAUGCCAUCACACUCCAGCCUGGGUGACAGAACAAGGCUCAGUCUCAAAAUGAAUACAUACAUACAUACCUAUUUGUAUUAGGAGGAGAAAACCAAGAACCAGAGAAGAGAAGAGAAGGGAAGGGACCUGUGGCCACAUAGCAAGGCCAUGGCACAGCCGAAGUCUCCUCUGCUUUCCUCAUGCAGCCCCGUCCAACCCAUCUCUUUCAUCUCUUUUCUUAAAACUUAAAAAUAUUUUCAGGGGGGUGUGGUGGCUCAUGCCUAUAAUCCCAGCAAUUUGGGAGGAUGAGAUGGGAGGAUUGCUUGAGCCCGGGAGUUUGAGGCUGCAGUGAGCCACUGUAGUCCAGCCGGGGUGACACAGCCAGACUCCAUCUUUUUCUCUGUAUAUUUUUUCACCUCUACCUGAUGUGACUGAGUAACUGCUGGGGUACAUCACCUCUUUCAGGUGAUGGAAAUGUUCUAAAGUUGAUUAUGCUGAUGGUUGGUUGCCCAGCUGUGAAUGCAGUAAAAACAUUGAGCCGUACACUUUAAAUGGACAAGUUAUGUGUGAAUUAUAUCUCAAUAAAGCUCUGUGCCCCACCCAAAUCUCCUGUCAAACUGUGAUUCAUAGCGUUGGAAGUGGGGCCGGGUGGAAGGUGACUAGAUCAUGGGGGCGGAUCCUUCAUAAAUGAU